rnacentral:rRNA from 1 species
AUACGGAGGGUGCGAGCGUUAAUCGGAAUUACUGGGCGUAAAGCGCGCGUAGGCGGUUUGUUAAGUCGAAUGUGAAAUCCCCGGGCUCAACCUGGGACCUGCAUCCGAUACUGGCAGGCUAGAGUCUGGUAGAGGGGGGUAGAAUUCCUGGUGUAGCGGUGAAAUGCGUAGAUAUCAGGAGGAAUACCAGUGGCGAAGGCGGCCCCCUGGACUGAGACUGACGCUGAGGUGCGAAAGCGUGGGGAGCAAACAGGAUUAGAUACCCUAGUAGUCC